rnacentral:rRNA from 1 species
GAUGAACGCUAGCGGCAGGCCUAACACAUGCAAGUCGAGGGGCAGCACAGACCCAGCAAUGUUUUGGUGGCGACCGGCGGACGGGUGCGUAACGCGUAUGCAACCUACCUUUAACAGGGGGUUCACGGACAGAAAUUUCCACUAAUACCCCAUAAUAUCGAUCAAGGCAUCUCGUUUGUUUGAAACCCCCGCUUGUUCAAGAUGGGCAUGAGGUGUAUUAGGUAGUGGGUGAGGUAAUGGCUCACCAAGACGACGACACAUAGGAGGACUGAGAGGAUAGCCCACCACACUGAUACUGAGACACGGACCAGACUCCUACGGGAGGCAGCAUAAAUGAAUAUUAGUCAAUGGGGGCAACCCUGAACCAGCCAUGCCGCGUGCAGGAGGACGGCUCUAUGAGUUGUAAACUGCUUUUAAACAGGGAUAAAGCACAGUAUGUAUACUGUGUUGAAGUUACUGUAAGAAUAAGGAUCGGCUAACUCCGUGCCAGCAGCCGCCGUAA